rnacentral:lncRNA from 1 species
GGGGUGGGAGGGGGCAGUGAUUACAAAUGGGCCUGGGGGAUCUUUUCUGGGUGAUGCAAAUGUUCUAAGAUUGGAUCAUGGUGACAGUAACACAACUCUGAAAAUUAACUAAAUUAGUUGGAUCGUACACAUUAACUGAGUGGAUUCUAUGGUAUGUAAAUGAAGCCGUUACAAGAAAGCAAUGCUUGGCAUCGUAGCUGGUACAGAAUAAGGCUCAGAGGCUGUCAAUGGUGGUGAUUCCUUCUUUCCUCUCCCGCAGGACGUAAGGUGUCGGUAAACUUGGAGUGUUGAUUGAGGUCGGGAAGUUCAAGUGCACGACGUCCCAGCAGAUCUCAGCUUCCACAGCCAGCCAUGUGCUGCUCUUACCUGUAUUCCUUCUUGUCUCCCAGGUGGGCAUACCAAGGCAGAGAGACUGGCCCCCUAGAAGAUGGAUUCCUGAACCGGUCCAGCUGAGGGCAUCAUGGACUCGCUGGGGUGUGGUAGAAAGAGCACUGGACCAACCGUUAGAAGAAUGGGGUAAAAUUCAUCCUCUUCCAUCUUUUUGGCUUGUGGGCAAGUCACUGAGCCUUGGUUUCCACAGUUCCAAGGUUGAAUGGGAAUUGGCAUCCUCUGCCUCCCCAGCAGAGGAUGCCCAGAUGGAGGGUGCUACUGAGGUCACAGAUGUGGAAAUCCUCGAAACCAGCAGGGCUGGGUAGCUGGAUAUGUCCUCUUCUUGUCCUGAAAGCCCUGCACACUCUGUGAUUUCUGCUGCCUGACCUCACUGUCCAAGUCUGCCU